rnacentral:rRNA from 1 species
CCUACGGGAGGCAGCAGUGGGGAAUAUUGGGCAAUGGGCGCAAGCCUGACCCAGCAACGCCGCGUGAAGGAAGAAGGCUUUCGGGUUGUAAACUUCUUUUCUGAGGGACGAAGAAAGUGACGGUACCUCAGGAAUAAGACACGGCUAACUACGUGGCAGCAGCCGCGGUAAUACGGAGGCGGCAAGCGUUAUCAGGAUUUAUGGGGUGUAAAGGGCGUGUAGGCGGGAAAGCAAGUUAGAUGUGAAAACUCAGGGCUCAACCCUGGGCCUGCAUUUGAAACUGUUUUGCUUGAGUGCUGGAGAGGCAAGCGGAAUUCAGUGUGUAGCGGUGAAAUGCGUAGAUAUACGGAGGAACACCAGUGGCGAAGGCGGAUUGCUGGACAGUAACUGACGCUGAGGCGCGAAAGCGUGGGGAGCAAACAGGAUUAGAUACCCCAGUAGUC